AGUGAACGCUGGCGGUAGGCCUAACACAUGCAAGUCAAACGGCAGCACAGUAAGAGCCUGCUCUUACGGGUGGCGAGUGGCGGACGGGUGAGGAAUACAUCGGAAUCUACUUUUUCGUGGGGGAUAACGUAGGGAAACUUACGCUAAUACCGCAUACGACCCACGGGUGAAAGCAGGGGAUCUUCGGACCUUGCGCGAUUGAAUGAGCCGAUGUCGGAUUAGCUAGUUGGCGGGGUAAAGGCCCACCAAGGCGACGAUCCGUAGCUGGUCUGAGAGGAUGAUCAGCCACACUGGAACUGAGACACGGUCCAGACUCCUACGGGAGGCAGCAGUGGGGAAUAUUGGACAAUGGGCGCAAGCCUGAUCCAGCCAUACCGCGUGGGUGAAGAAGGCCUUCGGGUUGUAAAGCCCUUUUGUUGGGAAAGAAAAGCAGCAGGUUAAUACCCCGCUGUUCUGACGGUACCCAAAGAAUAAGCACCGGCUAACUUCGUG
rnacentral:rRNA from 1 species